GUCACUUCUCGGCCUUUUGGCUAAGAUCAAAUGUAGUAUCUGUUCUUAUCACUUUAAUAUCUGAUAUGUCCUCUAUUUGAGGACAAUAUAUUAAAUGAAUUUUUGGGACUGGGAGAUGGAAUAGGAGCUUGCUCUGCCCACUCCACACAUUGACCUGGUAUUCAGGAAUGGUGCACCCCCU
rnacentral:snRNA from 1 species